CUACCUCUACCUGCCAAGUGCUAGUAUUAAAAGUGUUCACCACCACCACCCAGCUCUCAAAAAAUUUCUUUAGGGAGUGCGGUUAUAAAGCGUGAUCUCAAACUGUUCACAUGAAGAUCUCAAACUCUUCAUGUGAUGCCAGGUCCUUCUGGGGUUAACUCUGGUGAGUCCUCCAGUAAAUUCUCCUUUCUGCUUUCCUUCUGUGAGACACUGUGUAAGGGGAGCUCCACAGGGCUCCCGCCCGCUACCAGCAUUGAACUGUCUUCACUCUCUCAUCUCAUGCCUUGGUUCAGUUGCCACUGUGCCCUGUGCCGCAGGCUCAGCUCCAUUACACUGUGCCUAGGCUUGCUCCCCAGGGAACCCUGCGUCUUUGAGCAGUUAACCUCAUCUGGGUCAAUUCUCUCUAAUAUGAGAGAAUAGGACUGGGGUUUGUGUGUUUGCCUAGCGUGUACAAGGCUCUGGGUUCAGUAGAGGGACUCAGGGAGAUAACAAGUCUGUGAAGUUUUUCUUUUUGUCUUGAGAUAGGGUCUCAGGUAGCCGAGGCUGGCUUUGAACUUUCUAUGUAGCUGAGGAUGGCCUUGCACUUCUGAUCUUCCUGCCUCCACCUCCCAAAUGCUGGGAUUAUAGAGGUAUAUAUCAUGCCCAGUUUUAUGGGGUUCUGGAGAUCAAAACUAGGGCUUUAUGUAUGCAGGUCCGGCAAACACAAUACCAACUGAGCUACGUUCUCAGAAGUAGUAGGUACGGAGCCUCCGCAAGCCUCUGCACUCAGUAUCUAUUGCUAAGCUCCUCAGAGAAGGCUUUGAAAUUCUCCGGAUCUCUUUCUGUUUCUCUUCUUCCUGAUGCUCCAGGAGCUGACCUGUCUAUUGGUGUGAGUAUUCCUGGGCUUCCUGGAGCACAGAGGGCGGGUAUGCUUCCCUCUGGCAUGUCUGCAUCACAGUGGGGAGAAACCUAUGUAGACUAGAUUUUAUGUCUGCAUCACAGUGGGGAGAAACCUAUGUAGACUAGAUUUUAUGGCCAUGUAACAAAUUGCCACAAAGGUAGCAGCUUAAAACAACAUAAAUUUAUUAAAUCAAAAAUCCGUGGAUCAAAAGCGUGGGUGGCUCAGUUGAGUUCUCUGUUGAGGGCUUUCCCAGUGUGAAGCUAAGAGAUUAAGAAGACGGGGGAAAUUUGUAUCCAGUCUCCUGAGUGUCGGCAGGAUGGUGAUUACAGAUUUCUCUCUCCUGCUGGCUGUCACUGCCUUGUGCUACUCGCAAUGCCUGACAAUGGAGAUUCUCUCUGGUGCUGAGUCCCUCUUAUGCUUUGAAUCUGUCUGACUUCUCCAGGGAAACAAAGGGCACACAGGUCAGACGAACCACCAGCUGGUCUCCCUUCUCUAAAGCCGAAAGAAGGAAAUGCCGAAAGGAGAGAGCAGAAGAGAAGCUGCGGGAACUCAGAAAAUUCCCAGUGACAGAAGACCGUGCCUCAGGGAAGAGAGGAGGCAGGGGGAUGGGCAGACGGACUCAGCAUCUCAGCCUCAGUGUAGGAUGGGCCAGGAAGCUCCAGAUUCGCAUUAUCGAAUCCGCCAGUAUCAGAGGCUCAUGUGAGCCCGGAUCCAGGAUGACAUGAACGGAGUGUGGUUCAAGAAUCCAACACUUCAGAGAUGGAGUCAGGAGGAUCAGAUGUUCAAGGUCAUCCUUGGCUACACAGCAAGUUUGAGG